rnacentral:rRNA from 1 species
UACGUAGGGUGCAAGCGUUGUCCGGAAUUAUUGGGCGUAAAGAGCUCGUAGGCGGUCUGUCGCGUCUGCUGUGAAAACUCAGGGCUUAACCCUGAGCUUGCAGUGGGUACAAGCAGACUAGAGUGCGGUAAAAAAGACUGGAAUUCCUGGUGUAGCGGUGAAAUGCGCAGAUAUCAGGAGGAACACCGGUGGCGAAGGCGGGUCUCUGGGCCGUAACUGACGCUGAGGAGCGAAAGCAUGGGGAGCGAACAGG